CUGGACUUAAACUCAGGGAUCUGGAUAUCUCUGCUUCCUAAGUGCUGGGAUUAAAGGCGUGUGCCACUACAUCCAGCAAUAGACUUAUUUUAAGGGGAGCACUAUUGUAGGUUGAAUUAAGUCUCCCUGCAAGCAUGGAGUUAAGUCUCCACAAUGCACAUAAAAGCUGCUGUGUCUCAGAGAAGCUGGAAUACCUGCCCUGCGGAGGCAGAGGCAAAAGAUCCUUUGGGAUUAUUGAACAGCCGGUCUAGCCGAACCAGAGAGCUCCAGCUUCCAUGAGAGACUGUGCUUCAACAAACAAGACAGACAGUGAUGGAGGUAGUUACCUGACCUUACCUUCUCACUUCCAUAUGUACAUAUACAUGUAUACAUAUCCAUUCAUGUAUGCAUGCAUGCCCUGUGUCUGCACACGCACACUGUGGGGAUGUGUGUGCACAGGGCUAAUGCCCUAUGAACAAAGUGACCCCCGAGGCUGAGGCUCCUAUGGCCAUCAGCAACAAAGAGGCAAGGAAAGACUCUGUCCUGAGUCUCAGAGAGGCCAGGUCCUGGUAAAGCCUUCAUUUGCACGCAUACAUGCUCAGUGGAACUCAGUCUUGACAGGACCUGGGUCAAGAGGAACAGGUUUGUUAGUAGUUUUCAGGGUUGCUGUAAUCAGAGUUGAGACCCCAAUUUCCUCCCAGAGUUGAGGGAUGAUGAAGUUGUUUUAACAUGUAAAGUUAAUCUUAUAUUGUGUGUGUAUGCAUGAUGUAUGUGGGCACACAUGCUAUAAUGCUCAUAUGGAGGUCGGAGGAUAGCUGAGAGUUGGGACAUUUUCUGUUGCUUGUUUGAUAGAUUGUUUUUUGUUUGUUUGUUUGUUUGUUUUUGGAGACAGGGUUUCUCUGUGUAGCCCUUAUUGUCCUGGAACUCGAUGUGUAAACAAGGCUGGCCUUGAACUCAGAGAUCUGUCUGCCUCUGUCUCCCCAGUGCAGGGAUUAAAGGAGUGGGCCACCACCAUGAGCAUUGUGGCAGUUACUUACAGUAUCCCUGAGAAACUAAUGACAAACAUGUUCCUGUUGACCCAGGUUCUGUCAAGACUGAGUCCCACUGGGCUGUGUGAGUCAUUAGCUUUCUUUCUAAGCUCUGUCUUACAUGACUUGCUAGGCGCCCUUGAGCUCCUUCCUGUGUGUAAGCACCAGCUUUGUCCUUUUAUCUGAUGGGAUUCUGAGCAGCCUCUGCAGCAGGUAGUUGUUGUUGUUGUUGUUGUUGUUGUUGAAGUUCAUUGGCGUAUCUUGGAGCUAAGUUUUUAGAUUUGAAAACUUUAAGUUGUAACAAAAUGCACAUGAUAUCUACUCGCUUGAUUUUAUUUGUGUGUACAGUUCAGCAACACGAGGGCACUCUCAUGGCUGUGCAUUCACCACUACCAUCCCCUGCGGGACUCUUUUCAUCUUGCAGAAUUCCAAGUCUGUAUACGCAUAUUAAAAAUUAACUCUCGGGCUAGGUAGAUAAUGUGCCUGCUGGGCACGUGAAAGGACCACAGUUCAGCACCCCCCACCCCCAGCCUGUGUGGGGCUAAGGCAGGCCCUGCAUCUGUGAUUCCAGCACACCUUCAGCGAGAUGGGAGGUGGAGGCAGCAGAGACUUCGGACGAUUGUGGGCCAGCUAGCCUGGCAUGUGCAGCAGAGAAGAGCAAGAGACCUUGCCUCAAACAAAACGGAAGGCAAGGGCCAACCCUUGAGGUUGCGUCUGAUUUCCACAUGCUCAGACUCACACACAGUCUACAGCAUGGCAGCCAUCAUCUGCUUUCUGCCUCCAUGAAUCUGGCUGCUCUUGGUCCCUUAAAGUAAAGUCAAUAACAUUGCUUCUUUCGUGUCUUAUUUCAUUUCACAUGGGAAUCGUUCAUGUUGUACCAUGUAUAAGAAGGCUUAUAGGGCUUAGGACUAAGUAAUAUUCCAUUGUAGAUAUAUAUGAUACUACAUUUUCUUUGCCUUAUUACCCACCUGUGGACACUCAGGUUGCUCUCAUCGUAAAUAAUGCUGCUCUGAGCAUGGGUGUAUAACUGUCUCCUUCAGGUCCUGUUUCCAAGUCUGUUUGUUAAAUACCGAUAGGUGGGAUUGCCGGAUCAUAGAUCUGGUCUUUAAGUCAGAUCUUCCCAUUACUGAGUCGAUCAGUGAUCAUUUUCUAAAUUGCAAACUGCCUAAAUAUGACUGUACUUGGGUAUGCGUCGAAACAGCAUUUCUAAAUUUGUCCAUGUUUAAAGGCUUGAGUUAACUUCUUUUCGUUACAUACCCUCCUCAUUAUUAAUAUUGUCUCAUCAGCAUCUUGACUUUUGAGUAGAGCUGUCCCUCCUAGUUUUGGGCCUGAGAUUGUACCUUUUAACUCUUCAUAUCAAGAAACUUACUAGAUCACACCUCAGUAACUUUUGCGUACUUUUAAUCCAAAAGCUCCUUGUGCUGUGUGCUGUUUUCUUAUCUCCGCUCUCAGCAGUUGCUAUUCUUUAUCCAGGGCUUCAGUACCCCUGCAAGUCUGUAUAGUGUUGGAACUGUGCCACUGAACUGUAUGGCCGACAGCCCUGUCCCUUUCAGCUUAAACUGUUCUAGGGUGUCCUGAGCCCGAGUCCCUAGUGCAGUUGAGCGUGCCUUGCCUCCUUAGCACGCAAAGAAAACCCGAAUCAUUUUAAGUAAUGAUUCUAGUGGGGACAUAAGCGGCCCCUAAUAAACAAGCUAUUUACUGCCAGACACAGAAAGAAAUGCCACGGGCAAUAUGUUAGUGGCUUGCGCAUAUUCUUUUUGCUUUUGGAAAACUCUCAGCUUGGCCAUCUGUUUACUCUUUCUUGUUUGAGCAGGCAGUGUGUGUAUGUUUGUGCACUCACAAUAAAAAUCAGGCAGCAAUUAAUGGGUCUUCCCCAGCCCUUGCCCUUCACCCAGAGAGCCCCUUCUGGGGUAGCUGCUUUUUCUUACUUUUCUUACCUUCCCACUGUUUCUUCUAUCUCUUUGCUUACUCAUACACAAUAUACAUAUUUGUGUUCUCUAGAUAAACAAAAGAAAGAAAAGCAAAGUUACAAGAGGUUAAACUUGACAUGUCAGGUUUGGUUUUUUCUUCUUCUAAACUGCCUGUCUUGGAGAAUAGCCCAUGUACUACCUGAGGUCAUAGAAUUCUGUGAAAAAAAUGUGUAUUGGAAGGUGGUUUUACAUAGAGAGCAAGAGCGUGGGAUCUGAUCUUCCAGGUUACCACUUGCAAAUACCUCUAUGCUCUUUAUGCCUUAGUGCUUUUUCAUGUAAAAUAAGGUAUGUGUUUACCUCCCAGAAGUUGUAGUGAGGCAUGUGGAAAAUGUCUAACGAAUUUUCAGUCCUGUUUAAGGAGGUUCUGUUAAUGGGCAUUUAGGUAAUGGCUAGAAUUUUGCAAUUCAGCAAUAAAUAAUGCUGAUAUAUAAUUUCACACAUGUACAUGUUUAUACUUAGAAUUAAUUUUUGUGGUAAAAAUUCUGGCUUAAAUGAGAAUAUAUAUAUAUAUAUAUAUAUAUGCAUUUAGGUUUUGAUAGAUCUUGCAAUUUGUCUGUUCAAAGAGGUUAUACCAAUCCAUAGUUUCAGGCCAUCUUAGGGUCUUUAUUGCUGUAAAGAAACACCAUGACCACAGGAACUCUUAUAAAAGAGAGCAUUUAAUUGAGGCUGUCUUACCGUUUCAGCGGUCUAGUCCUUUAUUGUCAUGGUGGGAAACAUGGCAGAGAGACAUUGGUACUAGAGAAGGAGCUGAGAGUUCAACAUCUGGAUCUGCAGGCAGCAGAAGGAGACAGGAGACACACUGGGUGUAGCUUGAGCAUAGGAGACCUCAAAGCCUGUCCCCACAAUGAUGCACUUCCUCCAACAAGCCACACCUCCCAAUAGUGCAACUCCCUAUGGGGCACGAAUUCAAACACAUGCGUCUAUGGGGGGGGGCAUGCCUAUUCAAACCACCACAAGCCAUAGUGUGUAAUUCUGAAUAUAUGGGUAGAGUUAUGUGAAUACUUUAGCUUGGGUGGUCAUGGAAGCCUGCUCUGUGGAUGUAACAUGGACAUUAAAUCCCAGAUCAUAAUAGAGAACUAACUACAUAAGCUCUGGGAACACAAAAAGCUGGGGUUGACCCUUAUGUACUCAAAGAUUAGAAAGUAGGCCAGUAGCUAGUGUUGUAAAACACAUCUAUAAGCCCAGCAUUGAGGAGCUGAGUCAGAAAAGUCACUGAAACUUUGAGGCCAGCCUGGGCUAUGUAGAGAGGUCAUAUUGGGAGAGGAAGGAAGAAAACAAAGUAAGACGGAAGGAAAAGCAAAAAGGAAAGGAAAGGCCAGUGCAGGCACAGGUGGGCAAUGAGGAGGCAGGUGCAGGCACAGGUGGGCAAUGAGGAGGCAGGUGCUAGGCUGUGGUUAAGAUGAGAAGGCGAGGUUUGUACAGACUCUACACGAGAUUGUGUUUUAAGUACAAUAGAAAUCAGUAGAAGUCUGUUUGUAUGGUUGCUUUUAUUUAUUUAUUUUUUUGAGACAGGGUCUCUCUUGGAGUCUGGGCGGGUCUUGAACACAUUAUGUAGCUGAUGAAGACCUGCCUCUGCCUCCAAGUGAUAAGAUUAGGGGCAUGGGGCACUAUGUUUAGUCCCAUUGGAGGAUAUAAGGUGUUUUUUUUUUUUUAAUUACCUCUCAUCGUAGACAAUAGAUAGUUGGAGGCAAGAAGAGGCGGCAAGGAGAUGAGUUGGGAGUUACUUACUGACCAACCAUUUCCAGAGGAACUGGAGUUGGAGGGGUGGAGCCUGCUCACUUGACUGGUGGCUUGAGUACAGAGGGCUGGGGAAGGGCAGUGAGACAGCAGAGAGAGAACCCAAGGACUAUGCUGCUCUCUUGGCUCUGCUAUUACUAGAGGUGUGACCUUGGACAAUAGUCUUUCUUAUUAGUUCCUUAAUGUUCUUUUAUUGUAAAAUGAAGAGUCAUUCCCUUGUCGUGGUAUGAGUAAAAGGUGGCGUAUAUGUAUACACAUACAUAUAUAUGUGUGCAUAUAUGUGUGUGUGUGUGUCUAUAUUUAUGUAUGUAUAUAUGUGUGCGUAUCUCUAUAUGCUAUAUGUAUGUGUAUGUGCUACAUAAAGUCAGCUGGUGUCAUGCAUUAAGCUGGGGAAGGCUGGAGAUACAGGGUGAGCCCAUUCCUAUCUGCUUUACUAUUCUGUCCUUAGUUUACGCAGCAGUACUUGCAUGUAGUAGCCAUUAAGUACUAUUGAAUGAAAUGAUUGAAUGAGCAGAAACUAGACCCAUGAGAAGCAGAAUGGGAUUGGACAAAUGUCAAGAGAGACAUUACACGAUGCUAUACAUCCAAAUUGAUAGUAGAAAGCUUGUGCUAUUUAUAAUGAAGACUAAAACUUCAAAAGAAUUAAAAAAAAAGAUACUGACACAGUACCACGAGCAGUGGUGUCAGCAGAACUUUCGAGUGAAGUUUUUCCUUUAAGGCUUCGGGUCCCCAAGACUAAAAAGCAAGGUUUGACCCCUGAAGCUCUUCUGUGUUCCCCAGGCAGCUCCCUGACAUGGUUUGGACCCUGGGGCUUGUCAUUCAAGAACAUUUGUAGAGAGAAAGGAAUCCCAUUUCUUAGUAGCUCAUAAAUGGGUUUAUAAUUAAAUGUAGAGUGAAGAAGGCAUACCGCAAUCUUACGAAUUAAAUAAUUCAAAUGAGGAAAACUAAAACAGGCAUGAUUCAGCGGCGCAAAGAUAAAAUGUCAGGGCCUCAAGUUCAAUUGAUCUUAUCCUAACAGCCAUGGUCACAUGCUCACUCAUCUAUUCUAGAAAGGGUCACCAAGCAACUACCGUGUGGCAGACACAGGCACCUGGGACACCUCACACAAGAAAGAGAAAAAAGAAAUAAAUGAAAGUAAGAAAGAGAUGGCUGUCUUCUUGGAGGGAAGGAGGAUGACAGCCAAUGGCAGGCGGUGUCCAGCAGGAGAGCAUCCAUCUUUUUGAGAGCUGAUGGAUGCUGACUGAAAACAAAUGGGCAAGCAGAAGACUGCAGCUGCGAGGUUAGAACUUGUGCAGUGAGAGCGACACGGGCGAAAGGGACUCACGGAGAUGAGUUUGCAUUUGGGAGAAGGUUGCUCCGUGAACCCGGAACAGCUGUCCCCACCCACUCCAUCGCAUCUCUGCCUUAUUUUUAAAGACAGGGUCUUUCAAUGAACCUACAACUCACUGGUUGAUUAGACUGGCUGGUCAGUAAACCUUAGGGAUCCAGUCUCAAUCUCAGUGCUGGGAUUACACGUGCAAGCUGCUGCCAGGCCUGGCUUUUCAUGAGGAUGCUGGCAGUCCAAGUGCUAUAUGCCCAGACUCUGCUGAUGGAGCCAUCUCCCUGCCCCCAUGACUUAGACAUUAAAAAGUGGAAUUUGGCUUUGGAUAUGAGAAAAACUCUUUUGAGAAAUGGGUAGACCAGUUAAGAGGUUGGAGGAGUAAGAUAGAUGAUACUGGGUCACUCUAGGCUGACACUUUCGGUGGAAAAUGGCCAUGUUCUGGAUAGGAUCUCCCUGGAAGGCAGGCAUCAGACUUUCCUAGGACUGAAUACAGGGUGUGAGCGAAACAGUUAAGAAUUACUCCCCAGAUCUUUAGCCUGGACAACUAGAGGGGUGAAGAUUUCAUCAACGGAGACCAAGGGCCUGGGGUGAAGUUCAGAAAAGCAGUCUGGGCAUAUUGUCGUGGAUGGUAGUUACAUUGCCAAGGCCAUAUGUUGACUAGGCAGCUGGAUAUGCAAGUCUGGAGUUCAAGGGAGAGUGACCAUGGUAGGUAAAUAAAUCUGAGAAUUAUUUGUCUGUAACCAUCUAUAUGACGAAAGACCACAUGAGCUCACGAGGGGACUGAGGACUGAUAGAUCAGAGAUAAGGACGGGAGCUGAGUUGUGGACUUAAGAGGCAGGAAGAGGUAUAGGGAUUAUCAGGCGUUGCCAGUGCUGGCACGAAGCCAGGGCGCACAGAAUACCUGAAGCCUAGAAAGAAUGUGGAAAGGGAGCCAUAGCUUGUGAGUUGAGGGGUGGUCAGGCUCCUCCUGUCACCCAGAGAGAUACUGAGGAUCAGCACUGGGGUGGCAGUGCAGAGGAGUGGAGAGAGAGGCCCCAAGGUCCCAAAGAGUGCAGCAUCCACUUCCUCCCUUAGAGAAGGACGCCUCUCCUUCCAGUUGUCCUGCUUCUCCAGGCACGGAGAAAGGAGCAGGCUGGAAAUAGCACUUUGAGUGACACAGCGAUGUGUCUCUGACCCUUCUGUGACACUAGUUACAUUAAACCAGUCCUAAAUGGCCCUUUGGGACUCCCAAGCAGAUAAGAUUUCUUUCUCUUUUGUUUCAUGUGCCACUCAGGACCUCUUGAAUUCUUGCAGUUUUUAUUAAGGAUUUCUUAUCCACCAAUAAGCAACACUCAGACCCCACAACCCCUGUGGUAAUGGAUUGCACGGUUAUUUAAGGAUGGUCUCAGGCACCAGCGUGGACCAGUCAUUGCCCAAAGCCUCCACCUUAUUAAGCACUUGCCAAAUGGCCGGCUCCUGUUCUUCCUUCCUUCCUGGAAGCCUUCUCAAUCCCCAAAGCUAUUUUUGUAGCAAAGAGAUUAUGACAACAUAUGGAGGCCUCACUCUGCUCCCCCAGAGCACAACAAAGUCUUGUCUUUGCUUCAGCCAGCCACUUGGUGAAUGCCACAGGCUUUGGGCAACUGUGAGUCCUCGUGAUUUGUGGGACUUUACCAGAGAGCCACAGCACACACGGCAGCUGGUCUGAAGAACAUACUAACCUGAUGUUUCCCGUUCGUGUGGGGCAUGGAAUCUUCUCCAUUUGUCAAGCAGAGUUGGUCCUGUCAAUCCCACAAAUCCCUGGGUGUAUUCACAUCUCUGCCUCGAACAAAGGCAGUACAAUCCUAGAAGAUUGGCGUUCUGUGAGCAGCUCAACGCAGUGAGGGUUGUUGAAGACUUUUAGCGUUAAAUAUAUUCUCUCUUUUCAAAUAAACAUAAAAGGAAAGGAAAAGUUGUGAUGAAUUGUCAGCUCUCGGUUUAAAAUCGGACUCAUCUGUAAGCAAAACAUUAUCAUUCUUUGAGCAACAAGCAAAUCUGAGUAAGCGAUUGCCAGUCAUUUAUUACAGUGUUCUCUACCGUCUCAGGAUAGAGCACACGGCGAGUUAUAGCAGAAUCCCCAAACUAAUUUAUAUCAUCAUGGCAACUAGUUGUAAUAAUUUCCAGCCAGGCUCGAAAUUGAAAAGUUCAUUUUGUUGUCUGGAUCCAUGGCCGUUCCACGAGAGCAGACACUUGGCAGCUCAAUUUUUAAACGUUGUUGAAGAAAAAUCCCUCCCUGUGCCGAUCAGGUUGUUUUGGCUUUGGGAAACUUAGUGCUUUCUAAAGAAAAUCUGACCAUGUUCAAGUUUCUUCACCUUAGGGCACAGAAGUCCUCUCUCUUGUCUUAUUGUGGGUCUGAAGGCUCCAGAUUCACUAAGCUCGAGGACACAGCCAGUUAGAUUUGUGACCCCUACCCCUCAGUGCUAACAGACCCCGGCACGUUAAUACCUCCUGCCUCUUGUUUCUUCAUCUCUGUUACUGAAAAAUGGCCUUCGUUGUAAAUCUGCUGAUGAGAUUAUGUGAGAUUAUGCUUUACCACUCCCAUCUGCAGGCUUGAUCAUGGGGGGAAAUAUGAUGUAGGUUAACUCAGAAGGACACCUCAGCAUGCGUUUCUCAUCUGCAUCCUCUACCCCCCUUAAUGCAUCUUACACAUCACCUACGAAGGUUUCAGGUCAGGGGUGAAAGGGCCAGAUGAGGUCUAGGAGGGUGGUCAGCUACCUGUGUAGGGACACUCUUCAUGGCCACCAUCAGUUGGGCCACAUAAAGCAGCAGUGGCCAACACCUCCCUUUAUGGCUGGUUGUUAGUCGGCUUUGAUUGAGUGUGUAUCUUUUGCUCAGGGAUUUCAAACUAACCAGCACACUCACUCUGCUGCUUGCCUAUCUCAAUGAGAUGUCCUGAGCAACAGCUGCGGGUAGGGUGUGUGUGUGUGUGUGUGUGUGUGUGUGUGUGUGUGUGUGUGUGUGUGUGAUGAGCAAUAGUUGAAACACACAUAUACUCACACCCUUGCUGCUGGUUCCUGAUUCUUCUUUAUCUGGCUUCUCAACAAGGAAGGACAUUGAAAGAUCUGACAUUCUGGUAUUGACUUUCCCUUUAAAAUACUAGAUCCUUAGAAUUCCUUUUCAACAGACUGUGUCUGGCCAGAAAGUCUACAUGAAUUGAAGAAUUGAAGCAAAAUAUUUGUAUUUGACUGAAAAUAUAUAUAACUUUGGGAUUUUGUUUGCAACAUGUUUUCAGUCCAAUAUCUGAAGACGUGAUACUGGAGCCACGCCAGGGAAGGGUCGUUCCUGUUACUGCUCCUCCAGGGGAACAAACCAAACAUAUCACCACUGUUUUUUCUUUCCCUGGAAACUUACAACCUACCCCCAGCACUUGACAACUUGGUAUUUGUUCUGGGGAUUUCCAUCUGCACUCUGGUUUUGUGACUUCAUUUUUGCAACCAUAGAGAUUGGUGGCUAGCCUGUGAAGUAUCUUACCUAUGUUUGGGAUGUCAGGGGUCCUUGUUAACAUUGGUGCUUUUAUCAGACAGUCCUGUAUGGGACCCUCCCACGGAUGUUGCCUGUUCCCUAUGGAAAGAGCCUCUUUCCUGCAUGUAGAUGGUUUUGGCUUACCUAGGGAGAAGCUGGCAGUCUUGUUUGCAGACUUUCGUUUUUCAUCAGCAGUCCGGUGGUGACAGUGAGCCCUAGCUGUUUCUUCCAGUCACUGGCUCACAGGAAUGGUGCUGAAUGCUUAGAGGUAGCACAGAGCUUCAGGGAUUGCAGGAGCUUCACCAAUGUGCCCUCACUCUAGCCCUCCAUUGUCACAGCAGUAGGUCUUACCUCAUGGUUGAUUAGUGUGCUUGGUGCCUUGGGGCAGGCUGUGGGGGACAAUGCCAUGGCGUGUCUGCACCAAUUUCUCAACAAUUACAUUUUCAACUGCCUACUGCCCCCUUCCACAUAGGUGACUUCAUUUUUGUCUCCACUACAAAGAAUUCCUCUCACAAUAGGAUUCUUGCAGGUUUCUUCUCCUCCUCUAGUGUUUCCCUUGCUCUCACCCUGCCUCUCUGCACUCUUUCAGUCUUGGUGAAUAAAGGGUCCUCCCCCCCCCCCUUUUUUUUACUUCCUAAGACUUUUAUCAUCUGAGACAAUGAUCUCUUCAAAAGAAAGUACAUGCUGAGGAAAUCCCCCUUGAUGAGGGCUGGGAAUCCCAGCCUUUGCUUGCUUUCCUGCCUGUGGGCUCUGUGGCAUUAUUCACUCACAGUUAUCUUUAGGAUGGACCAGACAGUGUGCGUAGGGCUUGGUUGUGGGCUCUGUUGGUAAAGCUCUAGCUAUGCGGCCAUGAAAAUCUGUCUUUGAACCCUUGGAACCCAGGUAAAGGUUAGUGUAGUAGUGUAUAUCUAAUCCCGGUGUUCGUGUGUCAAGGAGGAAGGUGGAAACAGGAGAACCCCGGCAACCUCCAGGUCCAGGUAGCCUGGGAGACACAGUGGUGAAUAAAGGAGAGCCCCUGUCUCAAACAGGGUGGAAAAGGUCAGGGCUAACACCUGGGGCUGUCUUAGGGCCUUCACAUGCAGGCCAGUUCUCUCUCUGUCUCCCAGGAACCUUUUUUUUUCACAUGCACACAAGAGACAAUUCAUGGAAAGUUCUCAAAAUAAUGCCAGAUAUGCCAUAGUCACCCAGUAAUGGCUCCAUCACCAGUGUCCCUUUCAUCACCAAUGUUUCCAAGAAGAUACCGGGUCUAUAAGCAAGAUCCUCCUGUGUCUUUAUGCUACCGUUUCAUAGAUCACAACCCGUAUCUCCACUGAGACACAUCUAAUGCAAUACUGAUUUCUUCUUUUUGUUUUUCCCCUUCAGUACUUGGGAUUAAACCCAGUCUUUGUGUUGUUAGGCAAACACUACCACUACGCUGCCCCCUCCCAGUCCCCUCUCCCCAUUUAGGGUCUCUCUAAGUUACUUAGGCUAGAUUUGAACUCACUCUAGCUCAGGCUAGCCUUUAACUUGAAAUCCUUUUGCUUCAGUCUCUGUAGUAGUUGAGGCUACAGGCCUGCAUCACUCAGGCUCAGGAUCCCUUCUACAGGAUAGUCUUUUUAUGCUUUCUUUUCUGUUUUUUUUUUUAACUACACUCAUGAGUUUUUUGAAAGCAGUGUUACAGAGUUUUUGUUUUGUUUUGUUUUGUUUGUUUUGUUUUGUUUUGUUUUGUUUCUUGCAUUGAAUCCAUAUAACAACAGCCCUACGAGGCACUGGCUCUUCUCCACUUAUAUUUGAAAACCUUCCAGAUCAGAUAGACUACAUGUUGGGUUUAACACACCCAACUAAUGAGAGGCUAGCCCAGUCCUCAAACCCAAGGCUUCUGACUCCAAGUCCAGUAUAGUUUUGUUUUGGUUUUCUAUGUGGGGUCGUGGGUGUGUACAUGUAUGUGUGCACAUGGUUCGUGUGCGUGUGUGUGCAUGCAUAUGUGUACAUGUGUGUGUGUGUCCCCCUCCCCAGUAGACAAUCAAUCUUCUGAGAUUUUACCAAAAAGUCAACAAGUUCUAAGUUCCCCAAAUGGUAGAUAUUAAUUCUGAGUCUCUCUCUAAGAGUGUAUGUCUGCUUUCCCAGGUUAGGCUUGAGUUCCCUCCUGACAUCUCACUAAGGGUGGAGCCAAAGGUCAUGGUAAUGCAGAUGAAACUCUGCUGAGGCUGGUAGUCAUCCUGCAGGAGGAAGUGCAAUACAAGGGCACCCUGGCUAGUGAGAACAAGCCCUCUGGGAUUAAAGGGGGAGCAGGUGUUGCUGCCCUCACCCUCCAGUCACCCUGGCAAUGCCUCUCCAAGGAGAGUCCUUUCUGAUCCAUAGGGCCCUGAAGCAUCUUAAGGCCUGAUCCCAUAUCCUCAAACAAGCCCUUGCCCCGUGACCCCCAGGUACCCUUUGCUCUCUUUGGCUCACUUAUUCUGCCUUCUCGACAUCUCUGAAUGAAAGGGAACCACAGAAAAGGGAGCAUACAGAAAGUCAGACUCCAGAAACACUUACCCUACUUGUGGAACUCCCCGAGUAAACUUGUGCUUGGUGGAAGUCAACACAAACAGUGAACAUUCCAUGUCAGCACUGUUGACAAAGUGUAAGCCUCACGCCCUCAACUGGCUGUGUUUUUAACUGUCCCAGUGCCACUGAGAAGGAUGCUAGCACAUGCUUGUCCACUAUGGAAAUACCAGACUUAAGCUAGAGAGUCUUCUCGGCUCAAAUCUAUGCAGGUGAACGCUCAGUACAUUGUUAUCAGCUCUCGUGACCUAUUCAAAAAUAUUCUGGAAAUGUUUUGACCAUGUGCUUAACCACUUUAAUUUCCAGUUAGGCUGGCCGCAGGGAUUAGUGUGCUCUUGGGAGUUCUGUGGUGUUAAAAGACCGCUGGAGAAGUAUGUGCGGUCAAGCAUCCCAGGUAUGUUUAAACCUUCAGUCCCUGCCGAGUCUGUGUGUGCCAUCAAAGAAUGUUUUGUUAAGCAGGUCAGAGAGAUUUGAUUACUUCUUGUCUGCUAAGACAAGAGUGGAAAAACUACUUCCUUUAGAUUUGAAAGAGAAUUAAUCACAGGAUUUUGUUUAUUUCUUUCUGUCUCUUUUCACUUUCAGCCUAGAGAACAGGAGCCAGCCUUUGUACCAAAGAGUAGGAGAAAAGAGGGUCUUAAUGGAGGCUUCGGAGGCCGCUUUACGCUGAACUGGGGACAUGGUGAAGUCAGGAAGCGGCAUCAAGACAAAUGUCCUGGUGGCAGCUGUGGGGAAGCAAUCAAUGCAAGGUCACUUGUGUGACCCGGAAACUUGAGAGCUAACUACUGGGAUGUGUAUUUGAUUGCCAGCCAUAAGCUAAGGCGAAGUACAACUUUUGUGUUAGGGAACUUUGUCAUUCUGACCAAGACGUCUACUUUGUCACAGACUUGUGAACACAACUCUUCUAAAACAGGAGUAUCAUCAGGUGUUGAAAGGAUGCCAUAGCUGUAAUUGUGCAGUGUCUUAACUUAGAUGCUGAUUCAUAAUGGGUAAGGUUUAUUGGGUACCUACUAGGUGCCAGGUAGUUGGCUACUUUCUCUGCAUCAAUUAUUUUAUUUGAUCUUCAGUGCUUUACCAGCUGGGCAUUAUCUUUCAUUGCCAUGUCACGAGGGGGGAAUUCAGCAGGAUUCAUCCCACAACUGAUAACUGGAGGUGCCAGACUGGGCAGACUACAUUCAAGUCUGUAAUCUCAUCCUACUAUCUAUCUGCCAACCACAGGCCAAUUGUUUAGUGGGCCUGGGUGAUGACACUCAACUUUGGUUCCAGUGGACUCCUGAGUUUAUAAAACUGUAGUGUGUUCACGAGUACAAUCCGGUUUGGGAAUUGAGUGUGUGAGUGGAGUGUCGUUGCAGGAAUGCAAGAUGACAGGCAAGAUGACAUGACUUUUAACAAGGCAGGAGCAGAGAUGGCCAAGAGUUGAGGUUGCCCAUGGUGUCUACUGUAAUGUCAAUGAACCAUUCCAUGUGAGAAUAAGGUAACAUGCUGUGUGUACCACAGUGGAUGCCAUGUUUGCUUGAGCUGUUACCUAAAGGUUAAUCUGUGUGUGACUACACGUAUGUAUGUAUACAUGUGUGUGUGCCAGUGAACAUGUACAGGGAGGCUGGAAAUCAACCUUGAGUGUCAUUCCUCAGGUGCUGUCCACACUGGUUUCUGAGACAAAGUAUUAUUCAGCCUGAUGACCGAUUGACCAGUGAUCUCCUGUCUUCCUCCCCAAAGCUGGGGUUACCAGCACACCACCAUGCCUCCAUCUCUGCAAAGCUGGGGUUACCAGCACACCACCAUGCCUACAUCUCUGCAAAGCCGGGGCUACCAGCACACCACCAUGUUUCUACCUCAGGGGUCAGACUCGGGUCCUUGUGCACUUUACUCCUUAAAGACUGCUUUUUCUCCUUAGGCCCACCUGAGCUUCUUAUGGGACAGUCUAUGGAGUGGAUACCAAGGUUAAGGACCCUCAAGUGCAGACUUAGUAUUUUAAAGUUCUUUCUGGUACAGCUUUAAAAAUUGUUUACAAUGUCUAUGAAGUUAUAUAAACUGUCAGACCUGAGGCUUUAAGAGACAAUGAGCAAACUUGUGCUGUCCUACCCUGGCUGCCCAGACUUGAGAGUUACAGUUUCUCCUUUCUGAAACUGCCUGGCCUUCAACUUUUUAAAUAUAUAUUUUAAUAGAUUUAUGAAUGACUCCUUAUGCGAUCUUAAUUAAAAAGAGCAUAACAAUCCUCUUUGGAAAAAACUUUAAAUCGUGUUUUUAAGAAAGCACAAGACGUAAAAUUUAUGCAUAUCGAAUUUUAUUUCUCCCACUAAAAAUAAAUAUGACACUCUUCUGGGGAAUACAUUUGAAUUGCAAAAAUAUAGCUAACUGUCAACCUUAGAGAUGCAACAGAGUAUUAAAAAGAACUUUCAUUUUGUUUUGGAUCUUUCAGAAAAAUGCCAAAAAUAAAUAAAUAAAUAGGCAUCAAAGGCAUUCCUGCUCACAAGUCCUCACAUGUAUGUAAUCAUUCGAAUUUGGCAGUCCAGAGAAUGAGGCUAUUCUUGAGUUGUGACUGUUAGGAAUAUUGUGUCUUGGAGCUGGGGAGAUAGAUCAAUAGUUAAAACACUGGUUAAA